rnacentral:rRNA from 1 species
AUUGAACGCUGGCGGCAGGCCUAACACAUGCAAGUCGAACGGUAACACGCAGAAGCUUGCUUCUUUGCUGACGAGUGGCGGACGGGUGAGAAAUGUCUGGGCAACUGCCUGAUGGAGGGGGAUAACUACUGAAAAGGGUAGCUAAUACCGCAUAACGUCGCAAGAACAAAGAGGGGGAGCUUCGGUCGUCUGGCCAUCGGAUAUGCCCAGGUGGGCGUCGCUAGUAGGUGGGGUUACGGUACACCUAGUCGAGGAUCCGUAUCUGGUCUGAGAGGAUGAGCGGCCACACUGGAAGUGGGACACGGUCCUUAGUCCUACGGGAGGCAGCAGUCGGGAAUAGUGGACAAUGGGCGGAAGCCUGAUGCAGCCAGGCCGAGUGUAUGAAGACGGCCCUCGGGUCGGAAAGUCGGUUCAGCGGGUGUGAACCGCGUAAGCUUAAGACCAAGCCUGAUUGACGUUACCCGGAGAAGAAGCACCGGCUAACUCCGUG